AUUGAACGCUGGCGGAAUGCUUUACACAUGCAAGUCGAACGGCAGCACGGACUUCGGUCUGGUGGCGAGUGGCGAACGGGUGAGUAAUACAUCGGAACGUGCCCAGUCGUGGGGGAUAACGUAGGUAAAGCUACGCUAAUACGGCAUACGAUCUAAGGAUGAAAGCGGGGGAUCGCAAGACCUCGCGCGAUUGGAGGGGCCGAUGGCAGAUUAGGUAGUUGUAAGGGUAAAGGCCUACCAAGCCGACGAUCUGUAGCUGGUCUGAGAGGAUGAUCAGCCACACUGGGACUGAGACACGGCCCAGACUCCUACGGGAGGCAGCAGUGGGGAAUUUUGGACAAUGGGCGCAAGCCUGAUCCAGCCAUUCCGCGUGCAGGAUGAAGGCCUUCGGGUUGUAAACUGCUUUUGUACAGAACGAAAAGGCUCUGGUUAAUACCCGGGGCUCAUGACGGUACUGUAAGAAUAAGCACCGGCUAACUCUGUGCCAGCCGCCGCGGUAA
rnacentral:rRNA from 1 species